AGCUGUCUGUAUCCGUGCUGAGGUUUUGUCACACACCAAACCAAAAGGGCUGAUGAGACUCCCAAGGGAAGCGGUU
rfam:Schistosoma curassoni strain Dakar, Senegal genome assembly, scaffold: SCTD_scaffold0000907